UCUCUAUCCAUAUAUGUAUAUCAUUCAUGCAUAUGAAGCUAUGAGAAUUGUGUUGUAUGGUUGUCACUAAAACAUGUGGUAAAUUGGGGAAUCAACCAGAUAUUAGCUUCCCAGAGGCAACAGCAAGGAAAGUAACCAACAGUCAGGCUGGGUGUCAAUCAACCCA